GGCCUCGUGGCGCAACUGAAUAGCGCAUCAGAUUUCGGCUCUGAGGGUUGGGGGUUUGAAUCCCUCCGGGGUCACAA
rnacentral:tRNA from 3 species